ACUGCAGGCUGCGCUAUCGUCUCUAUUGCCAUAGGGAAGGAAAGUCCGGACAGCACAGGGCGGCGCACCACCUAACGGGUGGGUGUCUCUACACAGGUAGAGACAACAGACAGUGCCACAGAAAAUAACUGCCCGCUACCUGGCUAUAGUUUUGGAGACUCGUCUCCGCUACAGCUACGGCGAGCGAUGUUGAAAAUGUAAGGUAAGAGCUUACGGUUUCUGACGGUAACGGCAGAAACGGGUAAACCUUGCGCGCUGAAAUGCCAAAUAAAUGCUGCUUUUUUGUAUUUGCCGGAAGGCAUUUAUAAAAAGAUAAACGGCCCGUUUAUAAUACUGUAAAAACAGGAUAGCGGCAUGGGUAGGCAGAUACAGGUGGCAUGCGAAUGUCACCGCAGAUAAAUGAUAGCUAAGCCCAACGUAGUGGAAGGUGGGGUGACCCUCCUUCUCCGCCUGCGGCGGAUACGGCGGGUGAGACAGAAUCCGGCUUACAGGCCUGCAGUUUUU
rnacentral:RNase_P_RNA from 1 species